rnacentral:rRNA from 1 species
CCUACGGGAGGCAGCAGUGAGGAAUAUUGGUCAAUGGACGCAAGUCUGAACCAGCCAUGCCGCGUGCAGGAAGACGGCUCUAUGAGUUGUAAACUGCUUUUGUACGAGGGUAAAUGCAGGUACGUGUAUCUGUUUGAAAGUAUCGUACGAAUAAGGAUCGGCUAACUCCGUGCCAGCAGCCGCGGUAAUACGGAGGAUCCAAGCGUUAUCCGGAUUUAUUGGGUUUAAAGGGUGCGUAGGCGGUUUUAUAAGUUAGAGGUGAAAUCUCGGGGCUCAACUCCGAAAUUGCCUCUAAUACUGUAGGA